ACCACAACACACUUUCUGAGGCAGAACGUAAAAGGUAGAGCCACGUUUGGUAUCCGAGCUGCAGUGAGGCCUUCUUCAUGAAGCCUCUCCCAGUUCUCCGCCUCACCCCACCAAGCUGGAACUGAUCGCAGCCUCCAAACUCCCACAGCAAUCCUUUGCCUCCUCUUCUGACGCUACUCUUUCUCUCUUGGAUGAAAGCCGUGUGUAUCCAUGUUGGUUCUCCACUUCUAGAACCUGUCGUUUUGGGGCUGCAGGACUUGGUGGAUUCACACUGGCAUCCCCUCAGGAAGCAGAAUAAUGAGUUGGUUCCGUAGCAGCUCGGAAUGAUGACGAUGGUUGCCAGAAUAAUAGCCCCUGAUGUGCACAACUUAAUCCCCAGAAGCAAUGUCACCUUACAUGGCAAAGGCACUCUGCAGAAGUGAUCAAGUCAAGGAUCUUGAGAUGAGGAGAUGAUCUUGGAUUCUCCUCCUGGCCCAGUGUUAUCACAAAGGACAGCUGAAGAGGGAGACAAAAGGGUCUGAGUCACAGAGGAUGUGAGGACAGAGCAGAAGUCUCGGUGGU
ensembl:lncRNA novel transcript